UGGGGAAUUUUGCGCAAUGGGCGAAAGCCUGACGCAGCAACGCCGCGUGUGUGAUGAAGGUCUUCGGAUCGUAAAGCACUUUCGACUGGGACGAAAACCCGCUGGCUAACAUCCAGCGGUCUGACGGUACCGGGAGAAGAAGCACCGGCUAACUCUGUGCCAGCAGCCGCGGUAAUACAGAGGGUGCAAGCGUUGUUCGGAAUUAUUGGGCGUAAAGCGCGUGUAGGCGGCUUUGCAAGUCGGGUGUGAAAGCCCUCGGCUCAACCGAGGAAGUGCGCCCGAAACUGCAUGGCUCGAGUCCCGGAGAGGAUGGCGGAAUUCCCGAAGUAGAGGUGAAAUUCGUAGAUAUCGGGAGGAACACCGGUGGCGAAGGCGGCCAUCUGGACGGACACUGACGCUGAGACGCGAAAGCGUGGGUAGCAAAC
rnacentral:rRNA from 1 species